rnacentral:rRNA from 1 species
CCUGACUGUAGCCUGGAAUUGGGUUCGGGCUUUUCUUGCGCAGCCUAGGUGGGAGGCUAUGAAGAUUUCCUUCCGGGGAAGUUGGAGCCAUCAGUGAGAGACCACUCUGGAGAGGCUAGAAUCCUAAUGGUGAUCCUUGAAUCAGGACACUUGACAGUUUCAGGUGGGCAGUUUUUCUGGGGCGGAAGCCUCAUAAAGGGUAACUGAGGCGCGCAAAGGUCCCCUCAGUCUGGACGGAAGUCAGACAACGAGUGUAAAGGCAAAAGGGGGCUUGACUGCAAGACCUACAAGUCGAGCAGGAGCGAAAGCUGGCCUUAGUGAUCCGACGGUACCGUGUGGAAGGGCCGUCGCUCAACGAAUAAAAGUUA